rnacentral:rRNA from 1 species
CUUCCCGUAGGGUGAACCUGCGGAAGGAUCAUU